rfam:Glycine soja cultivar W05 scaffold584_42, whole genome shotgun sequence.
GGACCUAUAGGAUUAGAGCACGUGGCUAUGAACCACAGUGUCAAGGGUUCAAAUCCCUUCGUGUCCA